CCUCUCUUAGAAAGAAAAAAGCUGAGCAGGGUCAGCUCUGCCCAUGCCUAACCCGCUAUCUAUAUUUCCUUAGCCAGGAUUUCUUCAUCAUUCUUCUCAAGGUCCCAUGACAUGAGCAACCUCAAGUUAGGGGUGUUGGUUGUGAGUGCUCAUGACCUUAUUGUGCCCAAAGAUGGGCAGGGCGCAGCCAGUGCAUUUGUGGAGCUCCACUUUGAUAAUCAGACAUUCCAAACCGUCACAAAAGAAAGAGAUGCCAGUCCUGUUUGGGAUCAAAGCUUCUACUUCAACAUCUCUGAUCCAAAACGCCUACCUAACCUCACUCUUGAAGCUCAUGUUUACCACCUUAAAGAAGACAGCUCCAAAUCUUUCCUUGGCAAGGUUUGUGUUCCUGCGAGAUCUUUAUUUGUCCCAUACUCUUUGCAGCACCACCCUCUGCAAAAAAAAGGCAUUUUGUUUAACUCACGUGUGAAAGGAGAGCUUGGUCUGAAAGUUUUUGUUACUGAUGGAGAUGGUCAUGACCUUCCAAUGAACUCUGGGAUGCAUGAUGAGAUUGAGUCUCAACAACCACAGCCUGAACCAGAGUCUAAACCAGAGUCUUCUAAAGAUGAUGACUUGUCAUCGUCUUCGGAUUAUUUGCUGAAGGAGACAAAUCCUUACCUGGGAGGAGGGCAAAUUGUUCAAGGUCGAUUAGUACCUGGGGAUGUCAGCACCUAUGACCUUGUUGAAACAAUGCAUUACCUGUUUGUAUUAAUUGUGAAGGCCCGGCUUGACUUUGCUUUAAAUUCGGAGGAUGUGGCAGGGAGCCUUAAAACUUAUCUUGAAAUAAAAGUUGGGAAUUGCAAUGCAAUUACAAAACAUGUUGAGAGAAAACAGAACCCUGAAUGGAAUGAGGUAUUUGCCUUUGCAAAGGACAACAAUCUGGAGCCAUCUGUAUUGGAUGUUGUGGUCAAAGAUGAUGAUCAAUUUUUUGGGUCUGUGCAUUUUGAUCUCAAGGAAUUUACUACACGAGAUCUAAAUGCUUCAGAUCUACUCCCAAUGAAAACAAGGGAGGGGAAGGAUACAUCAGACACAUAUUGUGUAGCAAAGUAUGGGCACAAAUGGGUUCGUACUCGAACCAUAACUGACAGCCUAAGCCCAAAAUUCAAUGAGCAAUACACCUAGGAUGUAUACGAUCUUCACACAGUUCUCACGGUUUUGGUUUUCGAUAACAGUCGGGUUGGUAACCAUUCAAAUGGAAACAAAGAUGCAAAAUUUGGCAAGGUCCAGAUUCGAAUCUCCACCCUUGAGUCUGGCCGUGUCUACACUUUCUCUUAUCCAUUGAUAUCACUUCGUCCUUUGGGUGUCAAGAAGAUGGGUGAAUUGCACCUUGCAGUUAGAUUUUCACGCACAUCACUGGUUAACAUGAUGUUUCUAUACUCCCAACCCCUUUUGACUGGCAUGCAGCAAGACAUGUUGUAUGACCAAGCUGUGUUGAUGGUGGCAGAUACUCUUGGUCUUGAGAAAGAAGUAGUUCAAUACAUUUCCUCUAAUGCAGAAGAGUCUGAUGUUUGGAGUGUGAGGCGCAGCAAGGCAAACGUUUUCAGGCUUAUGUCAGUUUUCUCAGGGUUGGUUGGUGUUGCACAAUGGUUUGGAGAAGUACGAGUGUGGAAAAAUCCCCUUACGACAUUUCUAGUGCAUGUCCUGUUUGUGAUGAUCAUAAGCUCUCCACAGCUGAUCUUGCCAACUGUUUUCCUCUACAUGUUUGUUACAGGGAUUUGGAAUUUCCAGUAUCGACCAAGAUACCCUGCUCACAUGGACACAAAGCUCUCACAAGCAGAUUUUGUGCUCCCCGAUGAGCUUGACGAAGAACUUCACACACUCCCAACAUCAACAUUACAUCUUCCAGAUGAUAUAGCCUGGAUGAGGUAUGAUCGCUUGAGGAGUAUUGCCGGAAGGUUUCAAAAUAUGAUGGGUGAUGUUGCUACUGAAUUGGAGCGGAUUCAGGAAAUUCUCAGAUGGCCCGAUUCUCACACCAGUGCUGUGUUUGCUACAUUCUGUCUUGUGGCUGCUGUUGUGUUUUAUGUGACACCUUUCCAGGUUGUGGUUCUUGUUGCCGGGUUUUACUACAUGAGGCACCCCAAAUACAGGAGCAAGAUGCCAGUACCAUCAGCCCUGGUUAACUUCUUCCAACGCCUGCCAGCCAAGACAGAUUAUAUGUUGUAAACUGCCCAUACAGAUGUGGUAAAGUUUGUCCUUUACAUCAGCGUAUCGAUUUUCGAUUUGUCAAUCUUUUGUUGUAUAUCUGCUGCUGCAGUGUUCUGUUUAUUGUCUUCUUGUAAGGUUAGAGCAUAUAAACUGUUGCAAUCAUUCUUAAUAGACAGUUUUAUCUAAAAUUUAUUUGCAAAUGUACUCUGAGAAAUGAUCAGAUUUCUUCUAAGUGCCCUAUA